rnacentral:rRNA from 12 species
CAAGAAAUUAAGAGUUUAUGGGGAAUACCUUGGCAUUCAGAAACGAAGAAGGACGUGGUUACCGACGAAACGUUACGGGGAACAGGAAACAUGUUACGAUCCGUAAAUCUCCGAAUGAGGAAACUCUUAAACAUUAUGUUGAAUAUAUAAACAUAAAUGAGUGAACCUAGAGAAUUGAAACAUCUUAGUAUCUAGAGGAAAAGAAAGUAAAAACGAUUCCCGUAGUAGCGGCGAGCGAAAUGGGAACAGCCUAAACUUUAACAAGGGUAGUGGGACAACUUAAAAGAAUUGGAAAAACUUACAAGAACGAGUUGGAAUACUCGACCAUAGAAAGUGAUAGUCUUGUAUUGGAAAAGUUAUACAUCUUGUUGUAUCCCGAGUAGUAUGGGGCACGUGAAAUCCCGUGUGAAUCUGCGAGGACCACCUCGUAAGGCUAAAUAUUCCUGAAUGACCGAUAGUGAAAUAGUACCGUGAGGGAAAGGUGAAAAGAACCCCGGGAGGGGAGUGAAAUAGAACAUGAAAC